CAACCUUUACCUACCUGGUGCUGAGAUGGAUCCAAUUGCAGUGAAUGCUGCUGGACAGAUCUGGUAAACACAAACGUAUAGGGAGUGUGAGCUGAACAACUCAACUCCCACCUCCAGAAGAAUUUCUUGCACAACUUAAGACUGCCAUUUCCACCAGAAUCAAUCAACACCUCUCUGAAGUGGCAGAAAGCCACACAAUAAGGUCUGCUUUGUGAGUUUGAUAACUUUGUCACCAUCAGCAAUCCGGUCAGCUUUAAUGCCUCCAGAGCUGGUUGGGUUCCCUCUGCUAUAAACCAUUUCAGGUGUUGCCAGCUUCAAGGGGCAUGGCCUAUUUUGUGUGUGUGUGUUACAACAAAAUGUUCUAAAUAAG